rnacentral:rRNA from 1 species
UACGUAGGUGGCAAGCGUUGUCCGGAUUUACUGGGCGUAAAGAGCGCGCAGGCGGUUCGUCCAAGUCGAAUGUGAAAGCCCCCGGCUCAACUGGGGAGGGUCAUUCGAUACUGUUCGACUCGAAGGCAGGAGAGGGAAGUGGAAUUCCGGGUGUAGUGGUGAAAUGCGUAGAUAUCCGGAGGAACACCAGUGGCGAAGGCGACUUUCUGGCCUGUUCUUGACGCUGAGGCGCGAAAGCUAGGGGAGCAAACGGGG